rnacentral:rRNA from 1 species
UACAGAGGUGGCAAGCGUUGUUCGGAAUUACUGGGCGUAAAGCGCGUGUAGGCGGCUUGGCAAGUCGGAUGUGAAAGCCCACGGCUCAACCGUGGAAGCGCACCCGAAACGGCCUCGCUCGAGUCUCGGAGAGGAAGGUGGAAUGCUUGGUGUAGAGGUGAAAUUCGUAGAUAUCAAGCAGAACACCUGCGGCGAAGGCGGCCUUCUGGACGAUGACUGACGCUGAGACGCGAAAGCGUGGGGAGCAAACAGG